rnacentral:lncRNA from 1 species
GCAAGUAUUCAAUCAUGCAUUUCUUGCCUCUUGCCUCUUGCUUCUGAGUAGUAACCUAACAGAAAAAAAAAAAAAAAAAAGCAGAACUAAGUUUUCUGGGCCGGGGAAUCCUGAAUACACCAGUUCCAGAGAAGGAGGAGAAUAUGGUGUCAACAAAAUAUUUGUAAGAAGCAAGGAGACAACUAAAAGCCCCACCACAAGGAUUCUCCAAACCUGCAGGAAAUGAGAAGGAAUGCUGUUUGUCCUGAGAUGUGGAAGUUUUCUGACAAAACAUCACUCCCAGAGCCUGCCUGGCAGGUCUCUCCCUCACCUGCCUGGCCAAAAUGGUGAAACCCCAUCUCUACUAAAAAUACAAAGAUUAUCCAGGCAUGGUUGUGGGUGCCUGUAAUCCCAGCUACUUGGGAAGCUGAGGCAUGAGAAUUGCUUCAACCCAGGAGGCGGAGGUUCCAGUGAGCUGAGGUUCUGCCUCUGCACUCCAGCCUGGCUGACAGAGCGAGACUCUGAAAAAAAAAAAAAAGAAAAGAAAAGAAAAAGAAAAAGAAAGAAGCCAACAGGAGAUCCAGAUGUUGAAAGUUUUAGAUAUGGAUUUUUAAAUUACUGCGGUUAAUAUGCUCAAGAAAUUUGCUGGUAGUAUGAAUAAUUUCAAAAAAGGACUGGAAAUUUUAGAACAGAAUCAAGUGGAAAUUCUAGAACUGAAAAUUAGAAAAACUGCAAUCAGACAUCAAAAAUGGGACUAAUGCCAUGUAUGGAAUAUGGUCUGAAAGGUCUAAAAUAUAUGUAACUGGAGUUCCAGAGAAGAGGUAACAGAGACUAGAACAGAGGUAAUAUCUGAAGAAGAAGUAGCUGAAGAAUUUCCAAGUGAUAAAAGUCACAGUUCACAAAAUACUACUGUGCCCAAUUGGGAAAAAUUCAAAACAACCGCCUAACCACAUAAAAAGAAAGAUAUCUAAAAACAGAGAGAGGAAAAUCUUCGCAGAUAGAAAAAAAAACACAUAAUACUUUUAAAAGGAAUAAUCAUCAGUCUGACAGUUAAUUUCACAAUUGAAAUAUUGGAAGCCAGAUGACAACAAGCACUUUCAAAACGCUAAAAGAAAAUAACUGCAGCCUAGAAUCUUGUAUCUAACAAAAAGAGUCCCCCAAAUAAAUGUUAAAUAAAAACAUUUUUAUACAAGCACAAAACAAAAAGAAAAUGUUACCAGUAGGGCUGCAGCAAAACAAAUUCUAAAGGGAGCCCUUCAAGUAAAAAAAAAAUAAUUUCAAGAGAAAGCACAGAAAUAAAAAAGAAUAAAUAAAUACAUAAAUAGCAAUGAAAAAAACUAAAUGAAUAUUAAACAUGUAAAAUAACAAUCACAUAUUGAGGAGUUUAUAGAAUAAUAUACAAAUGGCACUAAAAUAAAUGACAAUAGAAGAAAAUGGGAGAAGUAGAAAAGUAAGUGAAAUCAUUUUAAAUCCUUAGAUUGUCCAAAAAGGGGAAAAAUUACUAAUUUUUAUUAGAAUUAAAUAAGCCAGGAAUUCAUGUAUAAUCUCUAGGGUAACACCUUAAAAAAAUUAACAGUAAAAGAAUGGUUAAGAGGCAAAAAAGAAAAACUCAUUUUUAAGAAAGGAGAGGACAAUAAAAGGUAAGAACAAAGAAAAAAACACACAUUGACAAAUUUUGAAGGAUUGAAGUUAUACAGUGUGUAGUCACUGGAAAUGAGGUAGAAAUCAGUAAUAGAAUGUAACCAAAAAAUGUAUCAAAUAUUGAAAAAUUAAGCAAUACUCUCCUAAAAAGUCCCAUAGCUAAAGGGAGAAAUCCCAAUGAAGUUAGAAAAUACACUGAGCUGGAUGAUAAUAAAAAUAUUACAUAUCAAAACUUAUAAAAUGCAGCUAUGGAUGUGCUUUAAGAAAAAAUGAUCAUCUUUAAUACAUCUAUUCUAGAAAACAGAAGGGCUAACAAUCAAUGAUUGAAGUAGUCACCUAAAGAAGAUAGAAAAAUAAUAGUACAUUAGACACCGAUAAGUUAGAUAGAAAGAGUAACAAAGAUUCAAACAGAAAUUGAGUCAGGAUGAAAAAUGCAAUGAAGGUAAAUAAAACCCAAAGUUGUUCCUUGAAAAGGCCAAUAAAUGUAUAACCUUUGAAAAAACUAACAAAGAAUAAAAACAGUAAAGUUACUGAUUACCAAUAGAAAGACUAAAAAGGAAUGUCACCAUAAAGUCAACAUUUAUUAGACAGAUAAAGAGAAUUUUAAGAACAAUUUUGUGCUAACAAAUUUGAAAACUUACAUUAAAACACAUUUUAUCAAAAUUGAUAUAACAGAAAAUAAUUGGAAUAAUUCUAUACUAACAAUAAUUUUGAAUCUGAAAUUAAAACCUUGCCACAAAGAAAAUUCAGACCCAUAUGUGUUUAUUAAUGAAUUUCUCUAAACAUUUAACAAAUAAAUAACACCACUUACACAAUCUAUUGUGUAGAAUAGAAGAGAGAACACUUUUCAUCUCAUGUUGUGAAUCCAAGACACCCCGAUGGGUAUAUUAUAAAAAAGGAAACUUCUAACUCAAACAUUCUGAAGCAAUAUCAGCAAUCUAAUCUGGUGAUUUCUAAAAAGAAUAACAUAUCACAACCAAGUAGGUUUUAUUUAGGAACAGACCCUUGAAUUUCAAUCAUGAUAACUCAGUACAAUAAUAAAGGAGAAAUUAUCCUGUCACUAUCUCAAUAGAUGCAGCAACAAACAGAUGUUGAAUUUUUUGAUAAAAUCCAAUGCCCAUUUAUGACAAAAACUUCCUAACUAGCAAUAGAAAGAAAUUUAUUUAAUACGAUAAGAGUAUUUAUAAGAUAAUCUUAAGAAAGUUUGCAGAAUUAACAUCAAGAGAAAGAAAACUACAGCCAAACUGAAAAAAAAAAAUUCUCAGAUGAAAUUACGAAGUUUACAAGGCCCAGUUUUCAGAGCCUUCAUUUUCACAGGCCCCUGUAAGUGUUAGGAAUUGCUGGGGAUUGUAGAGAAUUCUGGAGAGAGAGCAAAGUGGGUUGCAACCAAGAAACAUUUAUAUGUUAACAUGUCUGGAAAACUGUGUAAAGUUGUCUCAGAAGAAAUGAACUCAAAUCUCUAAGUUUCCAAUACUUUGUGGUACAUAUUUCUUAAUCUAAAUAAAUAUUCAUUUUCAUACUGUAUAUUAG